UACGUAGGGUGCAAGCGUUAAUCGGAAUUACUGGGCGUAAAGCGUGCGCAGGCGGUUAUGUAAGACAGAUGUGAAAUGCCCGGGCUUAACCUGGGAACUGCAUUUGUGACUGCAUGGCUAGAGUUUGGCAGAGGGGGGUAGAAUUCCACGUGUAGCAGUGGAAUGCGUAGAUAUGUGGAGGAACACCGAUGGCGAAGGCAGCCCCCUGGGUCAAGACUGACGCUCAUGCACGAAAGCGUGGGGAGCAAACAGG
rnacentral:rRNA from 1 species